rnacentral:misc_RNA from 1 species
CGCGCGUCCACGAGCGCACGCUGCCGCGUGUAUAUGUGAAUGAGAUAGGGGGUGAGCACGAUAGCAAAAGAGGAGAGUCGCGUAUUGAUCGUGUCGCACGGGGGUGGAGUAACCGCCGACCGACUGGCUGGUCUGUCUUCUAUACCGGCGCGUGUUGCGUCCAAAGAAUGAGACGGAAAAUGUGAAAAGAGAGAGAGUAGCCCUUCGAGAACAGGGCCUCCGUCUGUAUAUCAACACCAUAGGCUAUAAUAGAAAGUAUCGAGGACGACCGAGAGAAAGACAGUGCGUCGCCUUGAAAUCAGGUUCAACUCUUGCCAGUUUCGGUUCUUUAAUCAGAAGAUAUAAAAUGAAGUUAAAAGUAGAAGAAAGCGAAAACACAAAGACAUGAUGCUAGAGGGAUAGAGUGCCAAGUCGAAAAUAUAUAUCAGUCAGUAGCCAGCCGGACAGUCUAGUCAAAGUCUUUGAAUUUUUCGAGAGUCGCCGAGUUCAAAAAUGGAUCUCACUAUACUAUUGCCAACGUUUCCUCGCCACUUAUAAAUUUGACUUUCUCUUUUCUCAUUCACAAUGUAUAUAUCUGUUGUGAACAGGGUGAAGUUGCCACCUCUAAUGCGAAUUUUUACAAAAGUUAAACGGCACUCGUUUGUCCACGAUUUGUUCACAUUUGUUUAACCAAAAUUCUCGUUGGCCCACUAUUCAAAAAAAGUUAUCAGUUUUUUAAAAUUUCCAUUGGAUGAUAAAUCUUUUUUGAGAGAUGG